rnacentral:rRNA from 1 species
UACGAGGGGGGCAAGCGUUGUUCGGAAUUAUUGGGCGUAAAGGGUGCGUAGGCGGUCUGCCAAGUCUGAUGUGAAAUCUAUAGGCUCAACCCAUAGUCUGCAUCGGAAACUGUCGGGCUUGAGUAUGGGAGAGGUGAGUGGAAUUUCCGGUGUAGCGGUGAAAUGCGUAGAUAUCGGAAGGAACACCUGUGGCGAAAGCGGCUCACUGGACCAUUACUGACGCUGAGGCACGAAAGCUAGGGGAGCAAACAGG